rnacentral:rRNA from 1 species
UACGUAGGGCGCAAGCGUUGUCCGGAAUUAUUGGGCGUAAAGAGCUCGUAGGCGGUUUGUCGCGUCUGCCGUGAAAGUCCGGGGCUCAACUCCGGAUCUGCGGUGGGUACGGGCAGACUAGAGUGAUGUAGGGGAGACUGGAAUUCCUGGUGUAGCGGUGAAAUGCGCAGAUAUCAGGAGGAACACCGAUGGCGAAGGCAGCCCCCUGGGCUGACACUGACGCUCAGGCACGAAAGCGUGGGGAGCAAACAGG